rnacentral:rRNA from 1 species
UGGGGAAUAUUGGACAAUGGGGGGAACCCUGAUCCAGCCAUGCCGCGUGUGUGAAGAAGGCCUUAUGGUUGUAAAGCACUUUAAGCGAGGAGGAGGGUACUGGUAUUAAUACUACCAGGUACUGGACGUUACUCGCAGAAUAAGCACCGGCUCACUCUGUGCCAGCAGCCGCGGUAAUACAGAGGGUGCGAGCGUUAAUCGGAUUUACUGGGCGUAAAGCGUGCGUAGGCGGCUGAUUAAGUCGGAUGUGAAAUCCCUGAGCUUAACUUAGGAAUUGCAUUCGAUACUGGUCAGCUAGAGUAUGGGAGAGGAUGGUAGAAUUCCAGGUGUAGCGGUGAAAUGCGUAGAGAUCUGGAGGAAUACCGAUGGCGAAGGCAGCCAUCUGGCCUAAUACUGACGCUGAGGUACGAAAGCAUGGGGAGCAAACAGG